CUGUUUCUAUAUUAUUUAACCUAUGCCUUAUUUUUUCAUGUUAUAAUUAUUUUAUAUUUUUAAAAUUUCAAAAUGUUGGUAUGAGUUGGAAGAACCAUGUGUACACCGAUAAAUAACUCUAGAAUUAAUUUAUUUGCUCUGAGAUUGUUCCUUGCAUUAUUUCAAUGAGUAAAGAACAUAAAUUUGAUUUAAAAUUGUCAUAUUUUAGAAAAAUUACAAAACAAAAUUAAUUUUAGUACUACUAAAAAACCGAUAUUCAAAGACCUUACUACAGAGUUAAAAACAGGGCGUAGGACAUUUGAUCGGGGGAAAAUGCACAUAGGGUCAUUUGAGUGUUAACAUCAUUGGACAUUUACGCACCGGCUUUAUCAUCUUUCUGACAGUGCUUUGGGCUUUUUUUUUUAAAUAAAUAAAGAUGUUUUAAACUUUGAGCGUUAUAAACUCUUCAUUUUAUUAGUCAAAUUCUGCUUGAAUUCCUACUUGCAUCUCCCCGUGGUGAGCAGGAAUAACAGAUUGUAUUUGGCGAACGGAUCAAAAAUUGUCUUGCUCAAAUGUCUUACUUUUAUUUUUAUUUCUCUCAAAUGGCCUACAAUUUCGUUUAGACACUCAAAUGUAUAAUACUUAGGCGCUCAAUCGUCUUUUUUUUUAUCGCAGAAAUUGUUGUCCAUUGCCGGGUAAA
rnacentral:lncRNA from 1 species